rnacentral:rRNA from 1 species
CACGUAGGGCGCGAGCGUUUGUCCGGAAUUAUUGGGCGUAAAGAGCUCGUAGGCGGUCUGUCGCGUCGGCUGUGAAAUCCCGAGGCUCAACCUCGGGUCUGCAGUCGAUACGGGCAAACUAGAGUAUUGCAGGGGAGACUGGAAUUCCUGGUGUAGCGGUGAAAUGCGCAGAUAUCAGGAGGAACACCGGUGGCGAAGGCGGGUCUCUGGGCAAUAACUGACGCUGAGGAGCGAAAGCGUGGGGGAGCGAACAGG